CAUGGCUCAGGAUGAACGCUGGCGGCAUGCCUAAUACAUGCAAGUCGAACGAGAGGAAGGAAAGCUUGCUUUUCUGAAUCUAGUGGCGAACGGGUGAGUAACACGUAGGUAACCUGCCCAUGUGCCCGGGAUAACUUCUGGAAACGGAUGCUAAAACCGGAUAGGUAGCAGACAAGCAUUUGACUGCUAUUAAAGUGGCCUUGGCCAUGAACAUGGAUGGACCCGUCGGU
rnacentral:rRNA from 1 species